rnacentral:rRNA from 1 species
CCUACGGGCGGCAGCAGUGAGGAAUAUUGGGCAAUGGACGAGAGUCUGAACCAGCCAAGUAGCGUGAAGGAUGACUGCCCUCUGGGUUGUAAACUUCUUUUAUAUGGGAGUAAAGUGUUCCACGUGUGGGAUUUUGUCUGUACCAUAUUAAUAAGGAUCGGCUAACUCCGUGCCAGCAGCCGCGGUAAUACGGAGGAUCCGAGCGUUAUCCGGAUUUAUUGGGUUUAAAGGGAGCGUAGGUGGAUUGUUAAGUCAGUUGUGAAAGUUUGCGGCUCAACCGUAAAAUUGCAGUUGAAACUGGCAGUCUUGAGUACAGGAGAGGUAGGCGGAAUUCGUGGUGUAGCGGUGAAAUGCGUAGAUAUCACGAAGAACUCCGAUGGCGAAGGCAGUUCACUGGACUGCAACUGACACUGAGGCUCGAAAGUGUGGGUAGCAAACAGGAUUAGAUACCCCUGUAGUC